UGGCGGGAAGGGUGUCGCGCUAAGUAGAAUUCAGAUCGCCUCCUGCAUCGCGCAGCACCGUUGGGCUGUCUGAUCCCUGGUCCUCUGGCACUUGGAGUCUACCCAGCCUGCGGGACGUGGGUCGGCCGAGCAGCUCGCCCCCAGCCCGGAGCCGAGCCUGGCCGCCCGGGGCGCGUUCCCGGCCGGCUCCAGCCCGCCCUGCUCUGCGAUCUGCACGCGGCAUUGUUUCCAAGCUGAGAAAGUGCUGACGUGGGAUCCGAAAUGGAGGACUGACUUUGGCCACCAGCGCACAGAGGGAAACGGAACCUCUCCGGGCCGGGCGUCCCAUUGCACAGCCCUGCGCACGCUCCGGCCCUUUUCUGACCCGACACCCCCAUGGCAGGUGUCAAUUUGGGGACUGUGGUCACAAUCACACAACCUUUUCACUAAGGAUGACGGUGCUCGGCUGAGACUGUCAAGUAGCGGGAGAGAAAGGAGGCUCCAAGCAUGUUCCUGAAGACCCCUCAUUUGCAGGAGAGUUCAAGACUUCCAUAGGCAGGGCUGGGGGGAUAGCUCAGGCAGCGCGCUUGCCGAGACACAUGAGGCCCUGGUUGGAGAUCCAGCACCUCCUAAAAGAAAAAGGACUUAAGUAGGUUAAGAUGCUAAUGUGUCACUCCCUUUCUUUGGACCCAGUUUGCAGCAGGAAAGUCUUUUGCAGCUAGAAGUAAGUAUUGGGGAUUCUUUCUGCAUUAAGAAUGAAGACUCUUGAUUACUGAUUAAAUUUUGCAUCACUAAAGCAAACCUGAACCUUGCAGGAAGUAGGCUGUGAGAAGUUCUAAUUAGUGUGAAAUUAUAUUUCCCAGUGAUGUCUUGGCCUCAAUCCACACGGACCUACAGGACUGUAACUCCUAGGGAGCUUAAUACAAAGCAGAACCUAAUGAAAGCACUUACUACCAAGUUGGCUCCUUGUGGACCUGCUAUUCUGUCUAUACACCUUUGCCUGUGACAGGAGAACUUUAAAUGGUCAUACGUGUUUCCAAGCCACAGUCCCUGGGAGGACCACCUAAGACUCUAGAAGAAUGUCUGCCAUUUAAAGAUCACUGAACCAGUCAGGAUUGGUGGUGCAUGCCUGUAAUCCCAACAACUCAGGAGGCUGAGGCAGGAGGAUCACAAGUCCAAGGUCAACCUCAGCAACUUAGCGAGGCCCUGAACAACUUAAUGAGACCCUAUCUCAAAACAAAAAUUUAAAAAGACUGGGAAUGUUGCUCAAUGUUUAGUACCAGGGUUCAACCCCUGGUACUAAAAAAGUAUAUGUAUCAUUGAACCAAACAACGCAGCUUCUCCAUCUGGAAGAAAAGGAAGGGGGAGGCCUCUACCUUUUGGAAAUCCAAAGAGAACUUAUUUUCACACUGUUUGGUAUAGCUUCCACAUGUCAUUUGUCUAAUAAAUAACUUCUCAAAUGAGGCUCCUUCUUCCUCCCAAUUAUCCACAGUGGGUGCCAGAUCUCUGAAUAAAAGCAAAUAAAAGCUUGCUGCCUAUUACCUUAUAAGAUGAGAACAAAAUUAACAAGAAAUAUAAGGAGGUUGCUUAACUCUCCCUCUCUCACAGAUCAACAAAUCCAAGAUGGCAAGAGGACCAUCACAGAAUGCCUUGCAUGAGAAAAUUAUCAAACGAUCAACCAGAGAUCCACAAAACAGCUGCAUAUUCAAGAGUCUGUGGGUCACACCCACAAUCCCAGGGACAAGUUGCUUUCUCUGUCCUACCUUGGAGGAAAGUCUUGAGCCACACAGCUAGCUGCCACAUCUUUGCCACAUCUUCUGCUUUGGCAGAAGCCAGCUGGGCUUCUGCCUUAGGCUCUGAGCAAGGUUUGGGGAGUCCCAUUCCCUGACCACAGCCCACCCAGAGCUGCCCAGCAGUCCUGGGCUCUAGCAGCAGCCUCAUGCAGCCGCCACUAGCCCAGAGCAGCUGGCAGCAGGCGGCAGCCAGGGAAGGCCAUGGUGAGAAAAUUGCUGUCUACCCCCUACCCUCCCACGAAUGUCUCGGCAAUCAAGUCUGCCAACGAGCAAACGAUUAUGGUAGAACACCUGGUUUUGCUAUAGCUUCGCAUAUCUGCCACAGACACUUUGAACACACAGAAUCACAUGUUGGGUGGAGGAUGGAAAAUGUAUCUAUUCAUCAUACCAAGACAGGGGGGAAUCAGGACAUGGUCCCUAACAUUUGGAAGAGCUAAACUCAGGCCCAGGUUUUCAGAUGUCAUUAUAUACAAAGACUGAAGGGUGACAGGUGGCCCCAUUAGGAAAGAAUUCACAAAGCUUCAUUUCUGAUAAUUACUUAGAGACUGAAAUAUAAUGAUCCCAUUUAUUCCAUCAGCAAGAGUUGUGACAGUCUUGUUCCAAGAAGAAUAAGCCUCCGCCCUUUGGAAAUUCAAUGUGAACUUAUCAUUUCCACAUACUGUUUGAUAUAGUUUCCACAUGUUAAUUGUCCAAUAAGAGACUUCCUGAACAAAGAUUCUUUUUGCUCCACAGCACUGAAGCUAGUGUCAGGUUUCUGCAUACUGUACAUGCAAAUGAAAACUUUGGUCCAUUACCCGAUGUGCCUAUGACAAAAUUAACAUAGAUCAAACAAAUGUAUGAUGGUGGGGUGUAAUGACCAUACCUAUGAUCACAGCAACUCAGGUUGCUGAAGCAGGAGGAUCACAAGUUCAAGACUAACCUAGGCCACUUAGCACAACCCUGUCUCAAAAUAAAAUAAAAAGGACGGGAGUGGUAGCUCAGUGAUAGAGAAGCUGGGUCCAAUUCCCCAUAUGGGAAAAGAAAGAAAAUUAUGAUGGGAACAGAUCAUCACAGAAUGCUUCAG